GAGGAUUAAGUAACUAGAUGAAGAACAUGAGAGAUGGAGAGAGAGAGAGAGAGAGAUUCGGAAAUGAGAGAGAGUGAAGGAGGAAAGAGUUUCCUUGAUUAAUUAACUUGCUGGAAACAUUACAUAAAUAGGCAAAGACAAAUAUCCUAGGAAAAUAUUAAACUAGUAAUAAACCUAGUAUAAGACUAAACAAUUGUAGAUGAGUCCAAACUGUCCAAACUGUCUUGGAUCAGUGAGAAAGUGACAUGUCCUAACGUUCCCAUAGGCAAUUG
rnacentral:lncRNA from 1 species